UACGUAGGGGGCUAGCGUUGUCCGGAAUCAUUGGGCGUAAAGCGCGUGUAGGCGGCCCGGUAAGUCCGCUGUGAAAGUCGGGGGCUCAACCCUCGGAUGCCGGUGGAUACUGUCGGGCUAGGUACGGAAGAGGCGAGUGGAAUUCCUGGUGUAGUGGUGAAAUGCGUAGAUAUCGGGAAGGAACACCAGUGGCGAAGGCGGCUUUCUGGCCUGUUCUUGACGCUGAGGCGCGAAAGCUAGGGUAGCAAACGGG
rnacentral:rRNA from 1 species